UACGAACGCUGGCGGCGUGCUUAACACAUGCAAGUCGAGCGAUGAAGUUCCUUCGGGAACGGAUUAGCGGCGGACGGGUGAGUAACACGUGGGUAACCUGCCUCAUAGAGGGGAAUAGCCUUCCGAAAGGAAGAUUAAUACAGCAUAAGAUUGUAGCUUCGCAUGAAGGAGCAAUUAAAGGAGUAAUCUGAUAUGAGAUGGAACCGCGUCGCAUUAGCUAGUUGGUGAGGUAACGGCUCACCAAGGCGACGAUGCGUAGCCGACCUGAAAGGGUGAUCGGCCACAUUGGGACUGAGACACGGCCCAGACUCCUGCGGGAGGCAGCAGUGGGGAAUAUUGCACAAUGGGGGAAACCCUGAUGCAGCAACGCCGCGUGAGUGAUGACGGUCUUCGGAUUGUAAAACUCUGUCUUCAGGGACGAUAAUGACGGUACCUGAGGAGGAAGCCACGGCUAACUACGUGCCAGCAGCCGCGGUAA
rnacentral:rRNA from 1 species